UUGCAACAUAUCAAUAAAUAUAUCAGAAAAUAUUUUCAUUGACAAACCAAACACCGGAAAAUUAUGAAAAAAGAAAUUUGGAAAAUAUUUUCACUUAAUAACCAAACACUGGAAAAUUAUGGGGAAGGAAGUGAUUUUCCAGGAAAAUAACUUCGAUGGAAAAUAUUUUCCUAGGGAAAAUAUUUUCAGUCCAACCAAACAGACCCUAAAUCUCAUUGGCUCACUGGUAGUCUACUGCCGUCCUAGUUUCCACUUUCCUCCGCUGCUUCCAGCCGAGAAGGAGCUUCAUCUUUUCUCGGCCUUCAUCUUCUCUCUCUCACUCUCAGCCUUCAUCUUCAAGCCAUCAUCAGCUAGCCAUCUUCAGCCUUCAUCUUCAAGGUUUGUUCACAUAUUGAAGAAAUUUCGGUACAGACGUACAGUUUAUAGGGAGUGCAUUCAUUUUACUUAAUCUUUUCUCGGCUAUUAAUCUGUGUUUCUAGUUUAUUUCUUUUAGGCAUUUCAUCGAACAGCUUCUGCAUAUGUAUUUUUUAUUAAAUUGUUGUUGGGAUCAUGGUAAAGUUUCCAUUUUUAUGGGAUUGUUGUGACUUGUGAGUAUUCCAGUAGUUGCAAAAUUUACCUACGACUAUUUAACUGGUGAGUGAAUGUUAAGUCACUAGUUAUGAUUAGAUUGUGACAAAUGGUUGUAUUUGAUUCUCAUAUGACAGUGGCUAUGACUUGUGAGAAGUUGUUUUAAAUGGUUUAGUUUAUAUCCAUGUUUCUAUGUUUCAAAUCAAGUAAAGGGAAAAAAAAAGGGUUCCCCGGUGAAAUCGGAAAUUACCGAAUUCCAAAUUGAAUUCGGAAUCGAACUUGAAUUCGGAAUUGAUGAAAUCAAAAUCGAAUUCGGUCGGUUUUCCUGAUGUCAAAAUUUCAAAAAAUUCCGAAUUCAAAGUUCCGAAUUACCGAUUACGAUUUCGAUGCACACCCUUACUCCUAACUGAAUUGUAAAAGGCAUGUUUGUAUGGAAACUAGGAAGAAUUAAACUCCAUCUCUAUAAGUCUUGACUUAAACUGAGUUUUUUCCCUUUUUUUCGUAUUUUUUUGGGUAUCCAACCGUCCUAAUCCUACGUCUUGCCCUCGCAGUUUUCCCAUAUUUUUGUUCUUCCCCCAUCUCCAGUUCUCCUAUUUUACUUCCCACUUGUCUCUUCCAAUCUCGACUUAAACAUUGCCCUUUAUAGAGCUUCUCUUCAUGUACGCUAGUUUUUGUUAAUAAACUUCUUGAAUUUUGUAUUCUAAUCAUCAUCUUAUCUGUACUUGUUAUUUGUCCAAUUUUAUUCUGUCAAUUCCAUCUAUCAGAUUUCUUUGGGUUGACUAGAUGUUGUUUUUGAGGCUUUACCAAGAUGGCUUCUUGAUUAAUAUAUAAUUCAGUUUGAUUAAUUUCCAUUAUUUAUAGUGUUAUUAUGUAUAAGAUGUCUGAUUCCCCAUAGAGUUCUGGUAAGGCGUGCAAAGUCAAAUGAGAGUAGGGGGAUUGUGGCUACAAAAAUUGGCAUAUGCAUUUAGGUCUCCAUUGCAGGGGCGUCGGAGUAUUCCUUGUCUUGCAUAUCUGAGCUUACAGUGGAAUUUUAAUUGAGAAUUUGAAUGUCAUAUGGAUUAUCAAAGAGUUUUAAAUGAAGGAAAAUAGCGUUCAUUCUUAUUGGUGGAGAGAGAUUUUUCUGAAAAGUGAUGAGUCUGUAAGCUAGAAGCAGUACUUGCAUAUGCUUAUAGCAAGUGGAGCAUAUUGGCAUGGGAUCAUUAUUUCCUUUCUCAUGCCAUUGCUUGCUGAUUUUCCUCUUCUCCUCCCAACCUUUUUUUGCUUUUUGUUGUUUUGUGUUGUAUGUAGAUCAGCCACCUUUUCAUUCAAAAUUUCUUUUUUGGCAUGUCUGUGCGUAUCCUCAGAGUUUCUUGGCUUAACAGAACUAUUCAUGGUACUCAUAUAUUUGGACUGUCUUCUCAACCUGAUGAUUGAUAUGCAUUUUAGACUGGUUUCCUCCAAUUAUUCUCAAUUUGUUUCAGGGAGAUUUUUCUCAACAUUCUGGAUUCUUUUAUAUCUAUAGAUGGAUUACCAUGCAAUAAAGGAAUUCUCAUGUUUUCUAAACCUAAAAAACGAGUUCUAGGUUGCAAAUUUCUUGUUUUUUCUGAAUAAAAUGAAGGCAAUAACGUUUGAUCCGAUAGCCAAUUUGGCCUAUUAGCUUGUGUAAGAUAUAUUUACAAUCAUAAGUCCGAUUCAAGAUUGUGUAUUACACACAUUAUUCCUUGUUGUUCAUAUUGGGCAUUUUGAACUUCAGGAGUCAUUUUGUCUGAUUUUGUUUCUAAGUUUGUGCAAUGGCAAAUAGGUACAUGGGGUAUGUGUAGUUCUGAGAGAGUACUGCAACUCUAGUAGAGCAUGAUCGAUAGUCUGUCCUAGGUUCUUCCUUUUUAUAUAGGUUUGAUCAAGCCGAAUUUCUUUGAGUUCUUACACUUUGUCUGUUCUGAGCUGACUUGGGAUCACGCUUUGAGUCUAGGAUACAAGACUUUCUGCAACCAUGGAUUUGUUGGACUUGAUGCAGUUCCCUUGUUCUUGCCUUUCCAGCACCCACCAUCUCCCCACCCCCCGGCCCAAAAAAAAAAAAAAGAAAAA